AUGUUUCCCGAGCAACUAUCUGAAUAUCCAGAGCCUCUACUCUCCCAGCACCUCACUAGGCUAGAGCUCCUUUGCGUCCGCUGCGCUCUUGAUUUUUCGGGCUGUCCAGUGCUAGUGGACCUUAAGAUGGAGCAGUGCGUUACACAUGCUGCUGAAAUGUUGUCUCCAUCCUUGCGACAGCUGAGUACGGUCUGCUGUGAACUCUCCAUGCGGUAUCGUACUCAAAUAACCUUACCGAAUCUUGUUCGCUUGGAAUUAAUUAAUUGUGCUGGUAGAGUUCCAUUACUUGAAAGCUUGCCAUCAUUGGAAACGGCGGUUGUUGAUCUUGGGGAGUUUUCUGAGGAUCGGUGUCCUGCGUCAGGCUGUCUUGAUGAGGAUCCAUGCUUUGGUUGUCGUUUUCAUUUUGAGUUCAUUGCUCAACGCGGAAGUAGCUACUUCUUCCAGGGUUUGUCUCGAGCCAAACACUUAGAGUUGUUAGCUUCCUAUAAUGAUGCGGUAUGUAUGCUUGCAGCCCCUUUAUUUUGUCUUCUAAUGUUAUAUCAAGAACUAUACCAUCAGCUAACAUGCAUGUACCCAGUUUAUGCUCUCAAACUGUCAUACUUAUUUCCGUACCAGAAAUUAUCAACCAACAUCAUAAUUCAGUCAAAAUUUAGUGCAGUCAGCCAGUCACAUUCAUUGUCUUCAAUCUAUGUAGUUACUCGAAACUGGUUCAGGAAUCCCCUCAUGAUCUGA
rnacentral:rRNA from 1 species